rnacentral:rRNA from 1 species
CCGAAUGCUGGUAAAUAUCUCUGGGAGUGAGGCUGCGGGCGCUAAGGUCCGUGGCCGAGAGGGAAAUAACCCAGAUUAGCAACUAAGGCCCCCAAUACGUAGUUAAGUUGAACAAACGAGGUGAGACUUCAAUAACAGCCAGGAUGUUUGCUUGGAAGCAGCAAUUCAUUUAAAGAGUGCGUAACAGCUCACUGGUCGAGAGGUCUUGCACGGAAAAUAAUCGGGCAUCAAACUACGAGCCGAAGUUCUAAAAUUAUACUUUUAGUAUAAUUGGUAGGGGAGCAUUGAAACCAGCGUUGAAGGUGUGGCGUGAGCCAUGUUGGAGCGGUUUCAAAAGAAAAUGUAGGCAUAAGUAACGAUAAAAGGAGUGAAAAACUCCUUCGCCGAAAGUCUAAGGUUUCCUGAUCAACGUUAAUCGGAUCAGGGUUAGUCUGGACCUUAGGAGCACCCGAAAGGGGAAUCUGAUGGGAAGCGGGUUAAUAAUCCCGCACCUGCUAUACGAUGAAAGUGACGCAGUGACGUGGUGGUUGCGAACAGACGGAUGUUCGCCUGAGAGGAAUCUUCGGAGGAAUCGAAACCAUAAAAUUGCUGCCAAGAAAAGCGAGUAUAGCAGCCAGUACCGCAAACCGACACAGGUAGACGGGAUGAGUAUUCUAAGGCGCUCGGGUGAGCCGUGGAGAAGGAACUAGGCAAAUUGACGCUGUAACUUCGGGAUAAAGCGUACCGCAGCGAUGCGGUCUCAGUAAAAUGGUUCAACCAACUGUUUAACAAAAACACAGGGCCCUGCAAAAUCGUAAGAUGACGUAUAGAGCCUGAUACCUGCCCGGUGCCGGAAGGUUAAGGAAGGGGGUUAGGAUUAACCGAAGCUCUUGACUGAAGCCCCGGUAAACGGCGGCCGUAACUAUAACGGUCCUAAGGUAGCGAAAUUCCUUGUCGGGUAAGUUCCGACCUGCACGAAUGGUCUAAUGAGUUGAACACUGUCUCCUCCACGAGCCCGGUGAAAUUGUAGUAUCGGUGAAGAUGCCGGUUACCCGCCACGGGACGGAAAGACCCCGUGAACCUUCACUACAACUUUGCAUUGAUUUUGAGCAACAAAUGUGUAGGAUAGUUGGGAGACUAUGAAGUAGUGUCGCCAGGCAUUAUGGAGUCAACGUUGAAAUACCAACCUUUUGUUGCUUAGAACCUAAUCCCGCCAGAGGCGGGAGACAUUGCAUGGUGGGUAGUUUGACUGGGGUGGUCGCCUCCUAAAAAGUAACGGAGGCUCGCAAAGGUACCCUCAGUACGGUUGGUAAUCGUACGCAGAGCGCAUUAGUAGAAGGGUGCUUGACUGUGAGGCAGACAAGCCGAGCAGGUGCGAAAGCAGGCUAAAGUGAUCCGGUGGUUCUGUAUGGAAGGGCCAUCGCUCAAAGGAUAAAAGGUACUCCGGGGAUAACAGGCUGAUCUUACCCAAGAGCUCAUAUCGACGGUAAGGUUUGGCACCUCGAUGUCGGUUCGUCACAUCCUGGGGCUGGAGAAGGUCCCAAGGGUUCGGCUGUUCGCCGAUUAAAGUGGCACGUGAACUGGGUUCAGAACGUCGCAAGACAGUUCGGUCCCUAUCUGUGGUGGGCGUUAGUAAAUUGAGUGGACGUGACCUUAGUACGAGAGGACCGGGUUGCAUGUACCGCUGGUGUAUCAGUUGUGCCGCCAGGUGCAAUGCUGAGUAGCUAUGUACAGUCAGGAUAAACGCUGAAAGCAUCUAAGCGUGAAACCUUCCACAAGAUGAGUUUACUUUUAAGGGUCGUCAGAGACGAUGACGUUGAUAGGCUACAGAUGUACAGCUGGUAACAGCAAAGUCGAGUAGUACUAAUUACCCGUAAGCUUUAUUUU